rnacentral:rRNA from 1 species
GUAGUUCCAUGCCGUAAACGUUGGGCACUAGGUGUGGGGCUCAUUCCACGAGUUUCCGUGCCGCAGCAAACGCAUUAAGUGCCCCGCCUGGGGAGUACGGCCGCAAGGCUAAAACUCAAAGGAAUUGACGGGGGCCCGCACAAGCGGCGGAGCAUGCGGAUUAAUUCGAUGCAACGCGAAGAACCUUACCAAGGCUUGACAUGCACGAGAAGCCACCAGAGAUGGUGGUCUCUUUGGACACUCGUGCACAGGUGGUGCAUGGUUGUCGUCAGCUCGUGUCGUGAGAUGUUGGGUUAAGUCCCGCAACGAGCGCAACCCUCGUCCCAUGUUGCCAGCGGGUUAUGCCGGGGACUCAUGGGAGACUGCCGGGGUCAACUCGGGGAAGGUGGGGAUGACGUCAAAUCAUCAUGCCCCUUAUGUCUUGGGCUUCACGCAUGCUACAAUGGCCGGUACAAAGGGCUGCGAUACCGUAAGGUGGAGCGAAUCCCAAAAAGCCGGUCUCAGUUCGGAUUGGGGUCUGCAACUCGACCCCAUGAAGUCGGAGUCGCUAGUAAUCGCAGAUCAGCAACGCUGCGGUGAAUACGUUCCCGGGCCUUGUACACACCGCCCGUCAAGUCACGAAAGUCGGUAACACCCGAAGC